AUGCCUGGAGUUCCUCUAGAAGACGUGAAACAGCGGGACGUCGUCAGAACUCUGGCAACCUUUCUCAAAAAGUCCGGGAAGCUGAAAGUCCCUGAAUGGGUGGACACCGUCAAGCUGGCCAAGCACAAAGAGCUUGCUCCCUACGUUGAGAACUGGUUCUGCACAGGAGCUGGUUCCACAGCGCGGCACCUGUACCUCCGUGGUGGCGCUGGGGUUGGCUCCAUGACCAAGAUCUACGGGGGACGUCAGAGAAAUGGCAUCAUGCCCAGCCACUUCAGCCGAGGCUUCAACAGCGUCCUCCACCAGGUCCUCCAAGCCCUGGAGGGGCUGAAAAUGGUGGAAAAGGACCAAGAUGGGGACCACAAACUGACACCUCAGGGACAGAGAGAUCUGGACAGAAUUGCCGGACAGGUGGCAGCUGCCAACAAGAAGCAUUAGAACAAACCAUGCUGGGUUAAUAUAUUGCCUUAUUCGGAAAAAAAAAAAA